GACAUGAUUUCAAUUUUCCUCCCUUGGUCAAGGACUCGCACUUUGUCUCCGUGUUGGACUGGAACGCCAUCCUUCAGCCAGAAGUUCCGCUCUGUCCUCCUGCUAUGGACGGAGGCACUGUCGAUGGAGGAUGAAUCAGGAGAAAAAGUAGAGUAAUUUAGAUAUCAAGCUCAAAGAUCUUUUCCGCGGUUCCGGAGACACUGGUAACCUUGCA